rnacentral:rRNA from 1 species
AGAGUUUGAUCCUGGCUCAGAUUGAACGCUGGCGGCAUGCUUUACACAUGCAAGUCGAACGGUAACAGGCCGCAAGGUGCUGACGAGUGGCGAACGGGUGAGUAAUGCAUCGGAACGUGCCCAGUCGUGGGGGAUAACGCAGCGAAAGCUGUGCUAAUACCGCAUACGAUCUAUGGAUGAAAGCGGGGGACCGUAAGGCCUCGCGCGAUUGGAGCGGCCGAUGUCAGAUUAGCUAGUUGGUGGGGUAAAGGCCCACCAAGGCGACGAUCUGUAGCUGGUCUGAGAGGACGACCAGCCACACUGGAACUGAGACACGGUCCAGACUCCUACGGGAGGCAGCAGUGGGGAAUUUUGGACAAUGGGCGCAAGCCUGAUCCAGCAAUGCCGCGUGCAGGAAGAAGGCCUUCGGGUUGUAAACUGCUUUUGUACGGAACGAAACGGUCUGGAUUAAUACCCUGGGCUAAUGACGGUACCGUAAGAAUAAGCACCGGCUAACUACGUGCCAGCAGCCGCGGUAAUACGUAGGGUGCAAGCGUUAAUCGGAAUUACUGGGCGUAAAGCGUGCGCAGGCGGUUUUGUAAGACAGUCGUGAAAUCCCCGGGCUCAACCUGGGAAUUGCGAUUGUGACUGCAAAGCUGGAGUGCGGCAGAGGGGGAUGGAGUUCCGCGUGUAGCAGUGAAAUGCGUAGAUAUGCGGAGGAACACCGAUGGCGAAGGCAAUCCCCUGGGCCUGCACUGACGCUCAUGCACGAAAGCGUGGGGAGCAAACAGGAUUAGAUACCCUGGUAGUCCACGCCCUAA